rnacentral:rRNA from 1 species
UACGUAGGGACCAAGCGUUGUUCGGAUUUACUGGGCGUAAAGGGCGCGUAGGCGGCGUGGUAAGUCAAUUGUGAAAUCUCCGAGCUUAACUCGGAACGGUCAAUUGAUACUGCUGUGCUAGAGUACAGAAGGGGCAAUCGGAAUUCUUGGUGUAGCGGUGAAAUGCGUAGAUAUCAGGAGGAACACCGGUGGCGAAGGCGGGUCUCUGGGCCGAUACUGACGCUGAGGAGCGAAAGCGUGGGGAGCGAACAGG